UGUUAUACGAGAGAGUUGUUGAAUCAUUUACUUAACUGAUUCAUUCAAAAGAUAUUAUUAGUUCUUACAGGAACAAAACAUUGUUAAUCCUUCUUUGGCUUCAUUUAGAACCAUUUUCAUUGGUGGAGCAACCAUCUCUUAGAGGUAACAGUUCAUUUGAAUCACAUGCAAUUACUAUUACCCACCCUGUUAAAAUCCACUUUGUAGUCAAAGCUGCUGACUUCAACACUCUGCUCGCCUCAUUUGAUCUCAAGCGAGUGUCUACUACAGCUACGCACAAAUCAGGCAACCAGCUAGACCUCAUCUACACACGCUGUUGCUCCACGGACAACACUUUAGUUGCUCCACUGCACACCUCAGACCACUUCCUCAUCACUUCUAACCUCACACUUACUCCUGACACAGCACACACUCCUCCACAGGUCACCUUUCAACGCAACCUACGCUCACUCUCUCCCUCUUGCCUAUCCUCUAUUGUUUCCUCUUGCUUGGACAACUUUUGCCCACUGUCAUCCAGACUAGCACGCACCACCCCAUCUGUCCCCUGGUUGUCCGAUGUUCUCCGUGAACAUUGCUCUAAACUCAGGGCUGCAGAGAGGAAAUGGCACAAAUCAAGAAACUCUACCAACCUCAGUGUGUAUCAGUCACUCCUCUCUUCCUUCUCUGCAAAUGUCUUCACCGCUAAAACAACAUACUACCACAACAAAGUUAACAACUGUUCUGACUCUCACACACUUUUCAAAACUUUCUCUUCUCUUCUUUGUCCUCCUCCCCCUCCUCCUUCAUCAACUCUUACAGCUGAUGACUUUGCAGUUUUCUUCACAAAUAAGACAAGAACCAUCAGUGACCAAUUCUCCACACCGCAGACUGAUGAUAACUUCAUAACGACUAAUACACACUCUCUCUCCUCCUUCUCUCCACUCUCAGAGAUGGACGUUUCCAAACGUAUCCUUUCCAAUCAUCCUUCUUACUUGUCCACUUGAUCCUAUCCCCACUCACCUCCUUCAGGCCAUUUCUUCUUCAGUCAUACCUUCACUUACUCACAUUAUCAACACGGGUUCGGGUAAGCCCACUGCUUAAGAAACCAUCUCU
ensembl:lncRNA